rfam:Daphnia magna strain Xinb3 contig09692, whole genome shotgun sequence.
CUUCGAUAGCGCAGUAGGCAGCGCGCCAGUCUCGUAAUUUCGUGGUCGUGAGUUCGAACCUCACUCGGUGAA